CUCUGCCUUUUGGCUAGCACCUAAUUAGCACACAGGCUUCCUGCAUGCCACCUGUACCUGCCUGUUUCCAGGGGUAAAGGAAGCUACAUUCAAGUCUUGAGAGGAAGUUCAAGAUGGCUGUGUAGAAGAUCCUGAAUUCACCUCCUCCCAUGGACACAUAUAUGGAACAAGUCCCUCUGAAAAAGACCUGAAAACUAGCUGAGCAGCUCCUCCACAACAAAGGAUAAAAGAGCCACAUCGAGACAGAAGUGACAGGGCCAGGAUCUGAACCCAGGGAGUCUGGUGCUGAGGAGAACCUUAUCUGCCUUCUAAUGUAUGAUGUGAACACACCAGUAAGGGCUACGAUCAGUCUCCAUCUCCUAAAACUGUGCUACUCACCAGAUGCACUGACAUCACCUGGGAGCUUAUGAAAAAUACAGCAUCUCAGCCUCACCCCAGACCUACCAAAUUUUAAUUUGCAUUUUAAG